UACGUAGGGGUGCGAGCGUUGUCCGGAAUUAUUGGGCGUAAAGGGCUCGUAGGCGGUUUGUCGCGUCUGCCGUGAAAGUCCGGGGCUCAACUCCGGAUCUGCGGUGGGUACGGGCAGACUAGAGUGAUGUAGGGGAGACUGGAAUUCCUGGUGUGCGGUGAAAUGCGCAGAUAUCAGGAGGAACACCGAUGGCGAAGGCAGGUCUCUGGGCAUUAACUGACGCUGAGGAGCGAAAGCAUGGGGAGCGAACGG
rnacentral:rRNA from 1 species